AUAAUUAAGUCUAAUCUGCCCACUGAUUUACAAAUUAAAGGGCUGCAGUAUAUUGACUGUACAAAGGUAGCAUAAUAAAUAGUCUUUUAAUUGAAGACUUGUAUGAAAGAUUUGAUGAAAUAUAAACUGUCUCUAAAUUAAAAAUUGAAAUUAAUUUUUUAAUUAAAAAGUUAAAAUGAUUUAAAAAGACGAGAAGACCCUAUAGAGUUUUAUAAUAAUAAUUUUUUAUUAUUUAAUAUAUAACAAUAAAUUUAAAAAAUUAUUAUUAUUUUGUUGGGGUGAUAGAAAAAUUAAAAUAACUUUUUUUAAAAAAAUUACAUUAAUAAAUGAAUAUAUGAUCCAUAAUUAGUGAUUAAAAGAAAAAAUUACCUUAGGGAUAACAGCGUAAUUUUUUUUUUUAGUACAAAUAAAAAAAAAAGGUUGCGACCUCGAUGUUGGAUUAAGAUAAAAUUUAAAUGCAAAAGUUAAAAAUUUGAUCUGUUCGAUCAUAAAAUCUA
rnacentral:rRNA from 1 species